GACGAACGCUGGCGGCGUGCUUAACACAUGCAAGUCGAACGGAAAGGCCCUGCUUUUGUGGGGUGCUCGAGUGGCGAACGGGUGUGUAACACGUGAGUAACCUGCCCUUGACUUUGGGAUAACUUCAGGAAACUGGGGCUAAUACCGGAUAGGAGCUCCUGCUGCAUGGUGGGGGUUGGAAAGUUUCGGCGGUUGGGGAUGGUCUCGCGGCUUAUCAGCUUGUUGGUGGGGUAGUGGCUUACCAAGGCUUUGACUGGUAGCCGGCCUGAGAGGGUGACCGGCCACAUUGGGACUGAGGUACGGCGCAGUCUCCUACGGGAGGCAGCAGUGGGGAAUAUUGCACAGUGGGCGGAAGCCUGAUGCAGCAACGCCGCGUGCGGGAUGACGGCCUACGGGUUGUAAACCGAUUUCGCCUGUGACGAAGCGUGAGUGACGGUAAUGGGUAAAGAAGCACCGGCUAACUACGUG
rnacentral:rRNA from 1 species